rnacentral:rRNA from 1 species
CCAGCAGCCGCGGUAAUUCCAGCUCCAAUAGCGUAUAUUAAAGUUGUUGCGGUUAAAAAGCUCGUAGUUGGAUCUCGGCGAACAGGGGGCGGUUCGUUAUUUGACGGUACUGCCCCAUUUGUUCGUAUUUUUGCAAGAGGGUUGGGGGUCCCCUUCAUUGGGUGUCUCCGGUCGCUUGCAGGUUUACUUUGAAAAAAUUAGAGUGCUCAAAGCAGGCUUACACGCUUGAAUAUUCGUGCAUGGAAUAAUAGAAUAGGAAGUCGUUUCUAUUUUGUUGGUUUUCGGAAAAUGACUUAAUGAUUAAUAGGGACAAUCGGGGGCAUUAGUAUUCAAACGACAGAGGUGAAAUUCUUGGACCGUUUGAAGACUAACUACUGCGAAAGCAUUUGCCAAGAGUGUUUUCAUUAAUCAAGAACGAAAGUUAGAGGUUCGAAGGCGAUCAGAUACCGCCCUAGUUCUAACCAUAAACGAUGCCAGCUAGCGAUCUGCGGGUGUGUAAAAACAAGACCCCGCAGGGAGCUUCCGGGAAACCAAAGCUUGUGGGUUCCGGGGGAAGUAUGGUUGCAAAGCUGAAACUUAAAGGAAUUGACGGAAGGGCACCACCAGGAGUGGAGCCUGCGGCUUAAUUUGACUCAACACGGGAAAUCUCACCAGGCCCGGACACCGGAAGGAUUGACAGAUUGAGAGCUCUUUCUCGAUUCGGUGGGUGGUGGUGCAUGGCCGUUCUUAGUUGGUGGAGUGAUUUGUCUGGUUAAUUCCGAUAACGAACGAGACUCUGUCCUGCUAAAUAGUAAGCUGAUUACUUUGUCAGCUUGUCUUCUUAGAGGGACUGGCGGAUUUAAACCGCACGAGAUUGAGCAAUAACAGGUCUGUGAUGCCCAA